rnacentral:misc_RNA from 1 species
GACGAACCGUCCAAACGUUAUUCGGAAUUACUGGGCUUAAAGGGUGCGUAGGCGGUGCUAUAAGUCGGGUGUGAAAUCCCUCAGCUCAACUGAGGAACUGCGCCCGAUACUGUAGUACUUGAGGAAGACAGAGGUUAGCGGAACUGAUGGUGGAGCGGUGAAAUGCGUUGAUAUCAUCAGGAACACCAGUGGCGAAAGCGGCUAACUGGGUCUUUUCUGACGCUGAGGCACGAAAGCUAGGGGAGCGAACGGG